AGUCGUGUGAUGAGCACAGAACAAACUAUUCUUUCGCCUUUUACUAAAGAAUACCGUGUGCUGUCCACUCAAAGCGGCAUACGCAUAUUUUUGAAAGGGUGUCCUCGUUGAAUGCC